GAUGAACGCUGGCGACGGGCCUAAUACAUGCAAGUCGAGCGGACGGACGUGAAUCUUUCUUCUCGUAUGUUAGCGGCGGACGGGUGGGUAACUCGUGGGUACCCUACCUACAAAUCUGGGAGAACUUCGGGAAAGCGGAGCUAAUACCGGAUAAUAUUUUGAACCGUAUGGUUUAAAAGUUUGAGACGGUCUUGCUGUCGCUUAUGGAUGGAGCCGCGCUGCAUUAGCUAGUUGGUAAGGUAACGGCUUACCAAGGCAACGAUGGAUAGCCGACCUGAGAGGGAGAAAGGUCACCCAGGAACGGAGACACAGUCCAGCCAACUACGGGAGGCAGGAGUAGGGAAUCAUCCGCAAUGGACGAAAGACUGCCGGAGCAACGCCGCGUGAGUGCUGAAGGUCUUCGGUUCGUAAAACAAUGUUAUUAGGGAAGAAAAUAUAUGUAAGUACCUGUGCACAUAUUGACGGUAGCUAAUCAGAAAGCACCGGCUAACUCCGUG
rnacentral:rRNA from 1 species